GUCCCUGUAGUUCAAUGGAUAGAACAGCCGUUUCCUAAACGGUUAAUCCGGGUUCGAUUCCCGGCGGGGGCACCA
rnacentral:tRNA from 2 species